UACGUAGGGGGCAAGCGUUGUCCGGAAUCAUUGGGCGUAAAGAGCGUGUAGGCGGCCCGAUAAGUCCGCUGUGAAAGUCCAGGGCUCAACCCUGGGAUGCCGGUGGAUACUGUCGGGCUCGAGUCCGGAAGAGGAGUGUGGAAUUCCUGGUGUAGCGGUGAAAUGCGCAGAUAUCAGGAAGAACACCAACGGCGAAGGCAGCUCGCUAGGACGGUACUGACGCUGAGACGCGAAAGCGUGGGGAGCGAACAGG
rnacentral:rRNA from 1 species